rfam:Felis catus isolate Cinnamon breed Abyssinian chromosome B1, whole genome shotgun sequence.
GCCUGGGUGGCUCAGUCGGUUAAGCGUCCGACUUCAACUCAGGUCACGAUCUCGCGGUCCGUGGGUUCGAGCCCCGCGUCGGGCU